AUGAACGCUGGCUACAGGCUUAACACCUGCAAGUCGAGGGGAAACGACGGGGAAGCUUGCUUCCCCGGGCGUCGACCGGCGCACGGGUGAGUAACGCGUAUCCAACCUGCCUCUGACUGAGGGAUAACCCGUCGAAAGUCGGCCUAAUACCUCAUGGCAUCGUCUGCGGGCAUCCAACGACGAUUAAAGAUUUCAUCGGUCAGAGAUGGGGAUGCGUCUGAUUAGCUUGUUGGCGGGGUAACGGCCCACCAAGGCGACGAUCAGUAGGGGUUCUGAGAGGAAGGUCCCCCACAUUGGAACUGAGACACGGUCCAAACUCCUACGGGAGGCAGCAGUGAGGAAUAUUGGUCAAUGGGCGAGAGCCUGAACCAGCCAAGUAGCGUGCAGGAGGACGGCCCUAUGGGUUGUAAACUGCUUUUAUGCGGGGAUAAAGUGAGGGACGUGUCCUUCAUUGCAGGUACCGCAUGAAUAAGGACCGGCUAAUUCCGUG
rnacentral:rRNA from 1 species